rnacentral:rRNA from 1 species
UAACACGUGGGCAACCUGCCUGUAAGACUGGGAUAACUUCGGGAAACCGGAGCUAAUACCGGAUAAUCCUUUUCCUCUCAUGAGGAAAAGCUGAAAGACGGUUUACGCUGUCACUUACAGAUGGGCCCGCGGCGCAUUAGCUAGUUGGUGAGGUAACGGCUCACCAAGGCGACGAUGCGUAGCCGACCUGAGAGGGUGAUCGGCCACACUGGGACUGAGACACGGCCCAGACUCCUACGGGAGGCAGCAGUAGGGAAUCUUCCGCAAUGGACGAAAGUCUGACGGAGCAACGCCGCGUGAGUGAUGAAGGUUUUCGGAUCGUAAAACUCUGUUGUUAGGGAAGAACAAGUACAAGAGUAACUGCUUGUACCUUGACGGUACCUAACCAGAAAGCCACGGCUAACUACGUGCCAGCAGCCGCGGUAAUACGUAGGUGGCAAGCGUUGUCCGGAAUUAUUGGGCGUAAAGCGCGCGCAGGCGGUCCUUUAAGUCUGAUGUGAAAGCCCACGGCUCAACCGUGGAGGGUCAUUGGGAAACUGGGGGACUUGAGUGCAGAAGAGAAGAGUGGAAUUCCACGUGUAGCGGUGAAAUGCGUAGAGAUGUGGAGGAACACCAGUGGCGAAAGGCGACUCUUUGGUCUGUU